CGGCACGGUGAGUAACACGUAUCCAACCUGCCGUCUACUCUUGGCCAGCCUUCUGAAAGGAAGAUUAAUCCAGGAUGCAUCAUGAGUUCACAUGUCCGCAUGAUUAAAGGUAUUUUCCGGUAGACGAUGGGGAUGCGUUCCAUUAGAUAGUAGGCGGGGUAACGGCCCACCUAGUCAACGAUGGAUAGGGGUUCUGAGAGGAAGGUCCCCCACAUUGGAACUGAGACACGGUCCAA
rnacentral:rRNA from 1 species